GGGAAAUUUGCUGAAAAAACAUAAAAACACGAAGAAAGUUAAAAUUACCUCUCGUUCACACCUCACAUGUAAAAGCUGAGGCAUUUCAAGGUGUCAUCUCUCAGCCGUUCCGAAUGCUUUGUAUUCCAGCACUUCUUCUGUGAUUGAGAAACGCGGGGUGAUGCUGAGUCUGUCCUCUCCCCGGUGCCACGUUAAAGACGUGGUUUUCAGUCCGUCUGUGGCGUCUCCUGUGUCGUUUGUUUAAUGUUCCUCAACAGUGGACAUCAAGUGGCUCCUCUCUUAAGUAAGCUGAGACCAGCCUGCCGGGCCCCUGGGCUCUUAAGGACACUCCAGCCUCUCCUCAGGAUGGAUUCCUGGCAGCGGGCUCCGUCCGUCCCAGGGUGUAGACAGUCAGCCUGCCUGCUGCUCGGUGCCAGAGCCAAUUCCCGUUAAAUGCCAGGUCUCUGGUCCGGACUGACGGUCUGCGUGUCCCUGCAGACCCUCUUCUACCUGGUGCACAUCUGGAGGACGGACUGGACCAGCGCCGCCCAGCAGGUGAGGGGCAGCGCGGCCCCUGGGAGGGGGCCCCUCGGGGUCAGAGGGUAGCCACGCACUGGCAGCCUGACUCACCUGGGCUCGUGGUGCGCGUCGCGUGUGGGUCGGGGCCGAAGAAGGUCUCACGCCAGCAGGUGUUUGUUCCGUCAAUACUGAGCCCGUUGCGUCUGCUGGGGAGGCUCGGCCGGAACCAAACCAGCCUAGAAAAUACUUUGCAGAGUUCCCGUCAGGGCUCAGUGGAAACCAGUCUGUCCAGCACCCGUGAGGACGCAGGUUCCAUCCCUGGCCUCUCUCAGUGGGUUAAGGAUCCAGCGUUGCUGUGAGCUACAGUGGGACUCGGAUCCUGUGUCGCUGUGGCUGUGGUGCAGGCCGGCAGCUGUAGUUCCGAUUCGACUCCUAGCCUGGGAACUUCCUUCUGCUGUGGGUGCCCCCCUAAAAAAAAAAAACCGCGGUGUCGUCGCCCUGGGCGAAUAGCGGUGUGUCCUGUUUCUCCUGCUCUGUCGUCCGGAUUAGGCCUCCUGAGAAAACCCCGUGGUCGGUGGUUCCCUGUAAGCAGGGCGAGCGGCCCGUGCCCUGUGGGA
rnacentral:lncRNA from 1 species